CUACGUGCCAGCAGCCGCGGUAAUACGGAAGGUCCGGGCGUUAUCCGGAUUUAUUGGGUUUAAAGGGAGUGUAGGCGGUCUGUUAAGCGUGUUGUGAAAUUUAGGUGCUCAACAUUUAACUUGCAGCGCGAACUGUCAGACUUGAGUACACGCAGCGCAGGCGGAAUUCAUGGUGUAGCGGUGAGAUGCUUAGAUAUCAUGAGGAACUCCGAUCGCGAAGGCAGCCUGCGGGAGUGUGACUGACGCUUAAGCUCGAAGGUGCGGGUAUCGAACAGGAUUAGAUACCCUGGUAGUCCGCACUGUAAACGAUGGAUGCCCGCCGUUGGCGCCCUGCGCCUGCGGCCAAGCGAAAGCAUUAAGCAUCCCACCUGGGGAGUACGCCGGCAACGGUGAAACUCAAAGGAAUUGACGGGGGCCCGCACAAGCGGAGGAACAUGUGGUUUAAUUCGAUGAUACGCGAGGAACCUUACCCGGGCUUGAAUUGCC
rnacentral:rRNA from 1 species